rnacentral:rRNA from 1 species
UAUCAACUUUCGAUGGUAGGAUAGAGGCCUACCAUGGUGGUAACGGGUAACGGGGUGUUAGGGCACGACACCGGAGAGGGAGCCUGAGAAACGGCUACCACAUCCAAGGAUGGCAGCAGGCGCGCAAAUUACCCAAUCCCGACACGGGGAGGUAGUGACAAUAAAUAACAAUACGGGGUCCUUUCGGGUUUCGUAAUUGGAAUGAGUACAAUUUAAAUCUCUUAACGAGGAACAAUUGGAGGGCAAGUCUGGUGCCAGCAGCCGCGGUAAUUCCAGCUCCAAUAGCGUAUAUUAAAGUUGUUGCAGUUAAAAAGCUCGUAGUUGAAUUUCGGGAUUAGUACGCUGGUCGUGCCUUUGGUAUGUACUGGUGUUACUGAUUCCUACCUUCUGACGAACCGUCAUGUCAUUAAUUUGGUGUGGCGGGGAAUCAGGACUGUUACUUUGAAAAAAUUAGAGUGUUUAAAGCAGGCUCGCGCUUGAAUACAUUAGCAUGGAAUAAUGAAAUAGGACGUUCGAUCCUAUUUUGUUGGUUUCUAGGAUUGACGUAAUGAUUAAUAGGGAUAGUUGGGGGCAUUAGUAUUCAAUUGUCAGAGGUGAAAUUCUUGGAUUUAUUGAAGACUAACUACUGCGAAAGCAUUUGCCAAGGAUGUUUUCAUUAAUCAAGAACGAAAGUUAGGGGAUCGAAGACGAUCAGAUACCGUCGUAGUCUUAACCAUAAACUAUGCCGACUAGGGAUCGGAUGAUGUUAAUUUUUUAAUGACUCAUUCGGCGCCUUACGGGAAACCAAAGUGUUUGGGUUC